AAUGAACGCUGGCGGCGCGCCUAAUACAUGCAAGUCGAGCGAGAAGACGUAGCAAUACGUUUGUAAGGCGGCGAACGGGUGAGGAAUACAUGGGUAACCUACCCUCGAGUGGGGAAUAACUAGCCGAAAGGUUAGCUAAUACCGCGUACGCUCCUUGGACUUCGGUUCAGGGAGGAAAGCGAUACCGUGGGUAUCGCGCUCUUGGUUGGGCUCAUGUCCUAUCAGCUUGUUGGUGAGGUAACGGCUCACCAAGGCUUCGACGGGUAGCUGGUCUGAGAGGACGAUCAGCCACACUGGCACUGCGACACGGGCCAGACUCCUACGGGAGGCAGCAGUAAGGAAUAUUGCGCAAUGGGCGAAAGCCUGACGCAGCGACGCCGCGUGGGGGAUGAAGGUCUUCGGAUUGUAAACCCCUUUCGGGAGGGAAGAUGGAACGAGCAAUCGUUCGGACGGUACCUCCAGAAGCAGCCACGGCUAACUUCGUGCCAGCAGCCGCGGUAAUACGAAGGUGGCAAGCGUUAUUCGGAUUUACUGGGCGUACAGGGAGCGUAGGCGGUUCGGUAAGCCCUCUGUGAAAUCUCCAGGCUUAACCUGGAACAGUCGGAGGGGACUGCUGGGCUAGAGGACGGGAGAGGAGCGCGGAAUUCCCGGUGUAGCGGUGAAAUGCGUAGAGAUCGGGAGGAAGGCCGGUGGCGAAGGCGGCGCUCUGGAACGUUUCUGACGCUGAGGCUCGAAAGCGUGGGGAGCAAA
rnacentral:rRNA from 1 species